UUCACGUUAGAUUGAUGUUACUAUUUGGGUUGUAGUAACAAAAAACAGUUGUUGCGAUUUAAAAAGUGUAUUAAAAAUCAGGUAUAUUUAUAUUCACAUAAAAAUAUAUGGAAUUUUAAAUAAAAAGAUAUAUAUAUGAAAAUUUUCAUUACUAAUUUAUUUAUUUUCCCACAAUCCUGCUCAAAAUGUAGCUAGCUAGCUCAAUUAGCCUUUGAGUGAACUAUAUGGAUACCCUUCAUAUAUACUUUAUCUUUUAUUUUAAAAUAUAGUACAAUGAAUCAAGUCUAUUUAAAUCAGCUUCUUCAUCAUCUUCCUCUCAUAUCACUCUCUAUUUUGUAUCACCAAACAAUAUUGUACUUACCAUAUGUAGGAGAGGUGCACCAGCAUCUGAUGAAGCUGCCAGCGUGAUCUUAACUUCUCUCUCUAUAUAUAUAGAUUUUGUCAGGGAAGAUCAGAUCAUGUGGCAGUUUCACCAGUUGAUGGUCGCAUCAACAAAACCCUAAUCUUUAUCCCAUUUGCUGUUUCCACAUGUCUGUAAGUUUUUUUUUUUGAUGGUUCUCUAAUUUAUUUUAGUUGAUCAAAUCUCGGACGAAAAGUGCCGCCUUAUCAAGAAAGUGGGUCUUGAAUCGAGAAAGCUUCAAUAUUUCUACAGGUUCUUCACUUACAUUGCAGAUCCAAACCCCAAACCCGACAUAACUGACUAUGCUUUUGUCCAAUUCACAUUUUCAGAAUCCGAAACGAUCAAAUUUCUGUUGAUUUUUCUCGAGGUGAUUCAAAACCCUACGUUGUGUUGGAUAAGAUUGAACCUCGAAUAUUAAUUUGAUUUGUUCUGUAUUUUGUUAGAUUUGUUCCAACUCGGUGAUAGCCCAAAAAUUAUAAACUCCGAAAUUGAUCUACAUAAAAUAGUAAUACCAAUUGAUCAUGAUGA